rnacentral:rRNA from 1 species
UAAUUCCGUGCCAGCAGCCGCGGUAAUACGGAAGGUGCAAGCGUUAUCCGGUUUUAUUGGGUUUAAAGGGUGCGUAGGCGGCUUAUUAAGUCAGUUGUGAAAUCAUAGUGCUUAACGCUAGAACUGCAAUUGAUACUAUUAGGCUGAGUUAAGAAUAGGUAAGUAGAAUUUAUGGUGUAGUAGUGAAAUGCUUAGAUAUCAUAAGGAAUACCAAUAGCGUAGGCAGCUU